GUACGUGUUUUGAAAUGUUGCGGCCAGCCUCUUCUUAAAUUACGAACUCUAUCGUGAGAACAUCAAAAAGUCCAGCGACGGCUUCUCUGAUGGGCAGCGGCACGAGUGUGAAUGGAUGUGUUUGCUGAAAACUCGAGAGGGAAGAAGACACCACGCGCCACGAGUCAUGCCUGUGCCAGUGUGAACAAGUACCUGUGCCUGAGCGCGCGCGUGUGUGUGUGUGCGUGAUCUUAUGGUACAACCAUGGCAAGAGCAGCACUUACUAAACUUCUUCUCCUCGUGAUUCUUGCCUUCAUCAUCUGCCUCCCGGAAUUUUUCACAUUUUACCAAGUAACAAAAGUGAACUUCUUCUGCCUUCCCUACCGACCCUGCGAACAAGGAAAUCAGGUGAAAGAGGGAGAAAAUGGAAAGGCUGGAAAUGAUGACGCUAAGAGAGGCCAUAUGUGUGACCCAUCUCAGACUCCAGAUCAGGAAAAAUGGGAGCAAGCGUGCAUACGAGAAGAUCAAAGCAAUACAACAGAUUCGGCUUCAGACGUCAGGCGAGGCAGAGAUGAUCCAAAAGCGAGGUGGUUCAUGUGUGAGACAGACAUGGAAAUGGCAGAAGUACACAGAAAUAUCUCAACUUCAGCUUACGAGUCACAUCUGGAGGUGUCAGCCGAGCUUCAUCUGCCCAACGCAGAGACCCUGAAUCUCACCUUGUACGGCCGCAGCAAUCACAGUUCCUUACACCUCUACCCACCUGAGGAGGAGGAGGAGGAGGAGGAGGAAAAUAAGGGUGGUGAUGAAGGACAGAGGAAGGCAUUCUACUGCUGUCUCCCUUUCCUGCCCAACUCUGAAUCGCCCAAUCAAAGCCGCUGUCUCCUUUGGUUCGCCAAUCAAACGGUUUGGAAUUCAACAGCAAAGGAAAAGCUGCCAUGGAAACGGACACAGAAAGAUGAGUGGCAGUGUGCGCUCAGAGUGGUCUGGCUGGCUCUGCUGUGUUUGGUGUUGCUGAGUAUAGUAACGAGUGUGAUCGGACAAAUCUACAAGAAAAGGCGUUUGUGCAGGAAGCCGAAGGUGCACCCUGAUGGCUUCAACUUAAUUACUCAGCAAUUAAAUGACGGUGCCAAAGAAACAGAAGUCAGCCCUCCUGAAGCAGGGACAAACCUCCACUUAUACGGGUUUCAUACCUGGUCAGGGCUCUCACCAAUUAAAGAAGUUGACAGUCAAAAUGACAUAUCAAUGUUAAUGGAUGGAAAUGCUGACCACUGCUAUACUGGUAAAGUCUUUACUGGAACAAUUGUACAGGUUCAAAGAGAAAGCUGUUGGUGGUUAUGACCACCAAUAGCUGGUUGAUGACUUUCAGAUACUCUUGCACGCAUUCAAGACUUAACUUGGCGCCUCUUCAUGCAACCAAAGUUUGAUUAAUUAUAUGCGGUUUAGUUUUUAGAUGCUAUGGGUCGGCCUUUAGUCCUGUCCUUACCAGCGUAUUGCUGGAUACGUUAUUUGAAACUGCUGCACGGUUGGGAACCACAUCGCCCUUCAUUUUCAUACGUGUGUGGUAAUCUGCGAAUGGUGCUACGAGAGCUCAAAAACUCCAAAGUGUAGCUUUAAAUAUGAUGGACUUAAUGCAUAAAUACAAAAAGUAUACCAAUGUGUAGCUAAUUAUCAUUGAAUUGUUUGCUGUAUUAGGCUGUUCUCUUUACGUAAAACGUAAACAUAAGGUCAGAGGUUAAAUGUGAUGUGAUAUUUGGAUGUAAAUUAUAAUGUGAUAUUUAGAAUACACAUACACCAGUAUCAUUUCCUAAAUGUUGCCAAUACAAACAAAGGCAGUCGUAAAGUUAAAAGACAUUUUAUGAUGUUUGACCUUAUAAAAUACACACAACACUUAUAAGAAUCAUAGUUUCUAAGUUAUAAGGCUUUUUGGUAAUUUUGGACCUAUACAUCAUUAUUUUGACAUUGAGGAUUGUGGUUGAUGUGAGCCAAAUUUUGAAUGGAUUGUUAACACGACUCCAUUCUAAAUAAAAAACGUAAAGUUUUAUCGGAAUUCAUUCAAAACUUUUUGAGUUAUGGUGUUUACAGACAGAACGGCAUGCACACUUCCAAAAACGUAAUCUUCCAGGCGGAGUUAAUCGUCAAAAAAUUCAUCUCAGUAGACAAUUACUGCAGAGUAUCAACACAUCAGAACCCUUUUAAAAUGUCAUCUAACAGUGUGCUUGGUGCCUUUUUUCUGUUGUCUUUAGGUUUUCUGCAUCAUCGCAGCCAUCCCUCCGUCAGCUCCAUCAAAGAUGAGCCUGCUCGAUGACAGGCGAGCAGCCGGAGGAAGCUGGAGGAAAACAGCCGCCUCAUUUACCAGCAUUACUAAUGGUGAAAAUAAAGAUAUCUGAACCACCUACAUGUGCUUGUGAACUUAUUUUCAGCAUGUCAUCUCGGAAGCUUUGUCUAUGUUAGCACUUUAUUAGAGGACAGUCUCUACACAUUAUUAAACUAUCAAAAGUUAAAUAAAUGGAUUGGCCCUCGAACAUUUUUCACCCUGAAAGAACUAAAUUGUUUUGUAUUCUGAGUCAGAUGCAUGGCUGAUAAACAGCCUUACCCCGUCUGGUUAUAGCUGAAAGGAGCCAAAACAUUUUGACAGCACUGACUAAUGCUUAAUAGCUUUC
ensembl:lncRNA